CCUGCCGCCCGAUUGCCGACCCUCAGUAGGAGCUUCGGCUCCCAAAGGCACGUGUUGUUGGCUAAGUCAGUUCGGCGGAAGCACCCUUCGGACCGCCUUGAAUUAUAAUUACGACCGAGCGGCGGGUAGAAUCCUAUGCAAACGACUUAAAUACGCGACGGGGUAUUGUAAGUGGCAGAGUGGCCUUGCUGCCACGAUCCACUGAGAUUCAGCCCUUUGUCGCUAAGAUUC
rnacentral:ncRNA from 2 species